rnacentral:rRNA from 1 species
AUUGAACGCUGGCGGCAUGCUUUACGCAUGCAAGUCGAACGGUAACAGGCCUUCGGGUGCUGACGAGUGGCGCACGGGUGCGUAAUGCAUCGGAACGUGCCCAGAGGUGGGGGAUAACGCAGCGAAAGCUGUGCUAAUACCGCAUGUGAUCUGAGGAUGAAAGCGGGGGACCAGGCAGCAAUGUUUGGCCUCGCGCCUUUUUAGCGGCCGAUGUCCGAUUAGGUAGUUGGUGGGGUAAAGGCCUACCAAGCCGACGAUCUGUAGCUGGUCUGAGAGGACGACCAGACACACUGGGACUGAGACACGGCCCAGACUCCUACGGGAGGCAGCAGUGGGGAAUAUUGGACAAUGGGCGAAAGCAUGAUCCAGCAAUGCCGCGUGCGGGAAGAAGGACUUCGGGUUGUAAACAGCUUUUGUACGGAACGAAAAGGAUCUGGCUAAUACCUGGGGCUGAUGACGGUAACGUAAGAAUAAGCACCGGCUAACUACGUG